UACGUAGGGUGCGAGCGUUGUCCGGAAUUACUGGGCGUAAAGCGUGCGCAGGCGGUUAUGUAAGACAGAUGUGAAAUGCCCGGGCUUAACCUGGGAACUGCAUUUGUGACUGCAUGGCUAGAAUCUGGCAGAGGGGGGUAGAAUUCCACGUGUAGCAGUGAAAUGCGUAGAUAUCGGAAGGAACACCAGUGGCGAAAGCGGCUUCCUGGUCCGACACCGACGUUCAGGCACGAAAGCGUGGGGAGCAAACAGG
rnacentral:rRNA from 1 species